CCUACGGGCGGCUGCAGUGGGGAAUAUUGGACAAUGGGCGAAAGCCUGAUCCAGCCAUGCCGCGUGAGUGAUGAAGGCCUUAGGGUUGUAAAGCUCUUUCAGUGGGGAAGAUAAUGACGGUACCCACAGAAGAAGCCCCGGCUAACUUCGUGCCAGCAGCCGCGGUAAUACGAAGGGGGCUAGCGUUGUUCGGAUUUACUGGGCGUAAAGCGCACGUAGGCGGAUUGUUAAGUCAGGGGUGAAAUCCUGGGGCUCAAGUCCAGAACUGCCUUUGAUACUGGCAAUCUUGAGUCCGGAAGAGGUGAGUGGAACUCCUAGUGUAGAGGUGGAAUUCGUAGAUAUUAGGAAGAACACCAGUGGCGAAGGCGGCUCACUGGUCCGGUACUGACGCUGAGGUGCGAAAGCGUGGGGAGCAAACAGGAUUAGAUACCCGUGUAGUC
rnacentral:rRNA from 1 species